rnacentral:rRNA from 1 species
UACAGAGGGGGCGAGCGUUAAUCGGAAUUACUGGGCGUAAAGCGCACGUAGGCGGCUUGGCAUGUCGGGUGUGAAAUCCCCGGGCUCAACCUGGGAACUGCAUCCGAAACUGCCUUGCUCGAGUAUGGGAGAGGGAAGUGGAAUUUCCGGUGUAGCGGUGAAAUGCGUAGAUAUCGGAAGGAACAUCAGUGGCGAAGGCGAUUUCCUGGACCAAUUCUGACGCUCAGGUGCGAAAGCGUGGGGAGCAAACAGG